AUCCCCAGAGGGCUAUCUGUGCGGUAACUGGAUUGCCUGCCAAGUUAUAUAUCAGUUUACAAGAAGGGAAUGAAAGAUUGAAAGUUUCUAAACCACUAUCGAGUUACCAUGGACGAAUAUAAAGCACAGUAGCAUGAAUAAGUGCGAAAUACAAUACAUAAUAUCAUGUAACACCUAUAGCUCCAUUCCAGCUCUGUGCCAUUUGUCCAUUUGUUCAUUGAUUGUAACAACCUUCUGCUUGGAUGGGUCAAGGAAAGACAAAUAUUGAGAAGAAUAUACAUUUUCCUCUAAUAAAUUGUAUGAUAUAAUAAUUAAUUUUUGUAUCCCUGCCAGGCUU